UGGGGAAUUUUGGACAAUGGGCGAAAGCCUGAUCCAGCAAUGCCGCGUGUGUGAAGAAGGCCUUCGGGUUGUAAAGCACUUUUGUCCGGAAAGAAAUCCUUGGCUCUAAUACAGUCGGGGGAUGACGGUACCGGAAGAAUAAGCACCGGCUAACUACGUGCCAGCAGCCGCGGUAAUACGUAGGGUGCAAGCGUUAAUCGGAAUUACUGGGCGUAAAGCGUGCGCAGGCGGUUUGCUAAGACCGAUGUGAAAUCCCCGGGCUCAACCUGGGAACUGCAUUGGUGACUGGCAGGCUAGAGUAUGGCAGAGGGGGGUAGAAUUCCACGUGUAGCAGUGAAAUGCGUAGAGAUGUGGAGGAAUACCGAUGGCGAAGGCAGCCCCCUGGGCCAAUACUGACGCUCAUGCACGAAAGCGUGGGGAGCAAACAGGAUUAGAUACCCUGGUAGUCCACGCCCUAAACGAUGUCAACUGUUGUUGGGGAUUCAUUUCCUUAGUAACGUAGCUAACGCGUGAAGUUGACCGCCUGGGGAGUACGGUCGCAAGAUUAAAACUCAAAUGAAUUG
rnacentral:rRNA from 1 species